GAUGAACGCUGGCGGCGUGCCUAAUACAUGCAAGUCGAGCGAACAGACGAGGAGCUUGCUCCUCUGACGUUAGCGGCGGACGGGUGAGUAACACGUGGAUAACCUACCUAUAAGACUGGGAUAACUUCGGGAAACCGGAGCUAAUACCGGAUAAUAUAUUGAACCGCAUGGUUCAAUAGUGAAAGACGGUUUUGCUGUCACUUAUAGAUGGAUCCGCGCCGCAUUAGCUAGUUGGUAAGGUAACGGCUUACCAAGGCAACGAUGCGUAGCCGACCUGAGAGAGUGAUCGGCCACACUCGAACUGAGACACGGUCCAGAAUCCUACGGGAGGCAGCAGUAGGGAAUCUUCCGCAAUGGGCGAAAGCCUGACGGAGCAACGCCGCGUGAGUGAUGAAGGUCUUCGGAUCGUAAAGCUCUGUUAGUAGGGAAGAACAUAUGUGUAAGUAACUAUGCACGUCUUGACGGUACCUAAUCAGAAAGCGACGGCUAAAUACGUG
rnacentral:rRNA from 1 species